rnacentral:rRNA from 1 species
AGCUCCAAUAGCGUAUAUUAAAGUUGUUGUGGUUAAAAAGCUCGUAGUUGGAUCUCAACAGCCUUGAAGCGGUUAACUUUGUAGUUUUACUGCUUUGUAGGCUGUGCUUUUGCUGGAGGUUUAGGGGUGCUCUUGAUCGAGUGUCUCUGGAUGCCAGCAGGUUUACUUUGAAAAAAUUAGAGUGCUCAAAGCAAGCUUAAUCGCUUGAAUAUUCGUGCAUGGAAUAAUAGAAUAGGAAGUCGUUUCUAUUUUGUUGGUUUUCGGAAAUCGACUUAAUGAUUAAUAGGGACAGUCGGGGGCAUUUGUAUUCAAACGACAGAGGUGAAAUUCUUGGACCGUUUGAAGACAAACUACUGCGAAAGCAUUUGCCAAAAAUGUUUUCA